AGGGUCGGCUCCUGGGCUGUGUCCCGGCGCCCUGAGCUCCGGAGCCUGCGCUGUUGGAUUCUCGCUACCGGCCAGGCAGCCCCCU
rnacentral:pre_miRNA from 1 species